ACUUUGUGGAGGACAAGGUCAGGUGGGGAGUUUGACUGGGGGCGGUACAUCUGUUAAACAAUAACGCAGGUGUCCUACGGUGAGCUCAAAGAGAACAGAAAUCUCUUGUAGACCAAAAGGGGAAAAGCUCACUUGAUUUUGAUUUUCAGUACCAAUACAAACCGCGAAAGCGUGGCCUAUCGAUCCUUUAACUUUACAAGUUUUAAGCUAGAGGUGUCAGAAAAGUUACCACAGGGAUAACUGGCUUGUGGCAGCCAAGCGCCCAUAGCGACGUUGCUUUUGAUCCUUCGAUGUCGGCUCUUCCUAUCAUUGUGAAGCAUAAUUCACAACGUGUUGGAUUGUUCACCCGUUAAUAGGGAACGUGAGCUGGGUUUAGACCGUCGUGAGACAGGUUAGUUUACCCUACUGAUGAAUCGAUGUU
rnacentral:rRNA from 1 species